CGCCUUGCCAGCCCGCUCAGAACCUUAAAGGAAUUGACGGGGGCCCGCACAAGCGGUGGAGUAUGUGGUUUAAUUCGAUGCAACGCGAAGAACCUUACCUGGUCUUGACAUCCCGGAGACCCUUAGGAAACUAGGGGGUGCUUCCAUCUGGAAGAAUCUGGAGACAGGUGCUGCAUGGCUGUCGUCAGCUCGUGUCGUGAGAUGUUGGGUUAAGUCCCGCAACGAGCGCAACCCUUGCCUUUAGUUGCCAGCAGUUCGGCUGGGCACUCUAAAGGGACUGCCGGUGUUAAACCGGAGGAAGGUGGGGAUGACGUCAAGUCCUCAUGGCCUUUAUGACCAGGGCUACACACGUACUACAAUGGCCGAUACAAAGGGCAGCGACACUGCGAGGUGAAGCCAAUCCCGUAAAAUCGGUCUCAGUCCGGAUUGGAGUCUGCAACUCGACUCCAUGAAGUUGGAAUCGCUAGUAAUCGUGGAUCAGCAUGCCACGGUGAAUACGUUCCCGGGCCUU
rnacentral:rRNA from 1 species